AUCUUCCGCAAUGGACGCAAGUCUGACGGAGCAACGCCGCGUGAACGAUGAAGGCNUUNNGGUCGNANAGUUCUGUUGUUAGGNNNNNACAAGUAUUGUNCGAAUAGGGCAGUACCUUGACGGUACCUAACCAGAAAGCCACGGCUAACUAAGUGCCAGCAGCCGCGGUAAUACGUAGGUGGCAAGCGUUGUCCGGAAUUAUUGGGCGUAAAGCGCGCGCAGGCGGUCUUUUAAGUCUGAUGUGAAAGCCCCCGGCUCAACCGGGGAGGGUCAUUGGAAACUGGGAGACUUGAGUGCAGAAGAGGAGAGUGGAAUUCCAUGUGUAGCGGUGAAAUGCGUAGAGAUAUGGAGGAACACCAGUGGCGAAGGCGACUCUCUGGUCUGCAACUGACGCUGAGGCGCGAAAGCGUGGGGAGCAAAC
rnacentral:rRNA from 1 species